rnacentral:lncRNA from 1 species
AAUCCAAUAUAUAUAGUUAGAAAUCUCAAAGUAAAUUUAGGACCUAGGAUCAAGAACUAAAACCUAAUUGUAGAAACCCCCAAAAGUCACCUUAAGUGAAACACCAUGAACUAAGAGUAAAUUAGAUAAUAACAGAAAAGCAUGCAAGCUUCUCGAAAGAAAUAUAGUUUAAAGCCCACCAAGAAAAGGACCACCUUGACCAUUAGAGAGAUCUCCAAAUAAGGAAAACAUAACUGCCAUCAUACUUUGGAAGGAAUAUCACACCUAAGAAGAAUCAUCAUACGAAAUUUUACGAAAUAACAAACCAAGUUUCGGUCAUAGAAAAGCCCACCCCUUCCAAACUGACCCCAGAAGAAGGACCUCAAAUAAAUUUAAAAUAAUGGAAUCCCCCAAUAAUGUAAGGAUUUUAGGAAUUUUGCUCUAAGAAAACCUUAGGGUUUUACUCUUCUACCCCAACCAAGAAUAAUAAAAGAUAAGUUAAAAAUCUUUAACUAGGGUAGUAAGCUGAAUACCAUAGGAAUCACCAGAACCCAAGAACUUAAGGAUUAAAACAAAAUAAGAAAAAGAUAUUCACCCAUUAAACACCUAUAAUUGACCAACUAUAUAUAUUAAAAAGACAUAUACAGAAAAGUAAAGCCACUCUAGAAAUAUCCCUACAUUAAGAACAAAGUUAGACUCACAAAAGAUCAUAGAUAAAUACUCUACCCAUAAGCCCAAGGAAAGAUUGAAAGAUAAGAUAAAGAAAAGAAAAGAACCCCAAAACACCUUAAGUGGGGUAGCACCCCAUAUAAAGAAGAAAUAAAGAUUAUAGCCCAAUAUAUUAAGUCCUGGAAGGAAUACCCAGGAAAUAUAAUAAAGUCAAAAUUAAACAGCACCAAUAUAAAGGAGAACCUUCAAAAGCCUAGGCCAAAAACAAAGACUACCUAACAACUAAUAAAUAAUCCCUCUAGGGUAAGAAGUCGAUGAGAAAAAUUGAGGAACUUAAGGAUAAAAAUAUAUAUAGAGAUAAGGUUACCAUACCGUACCUUCACGGCUAAGCAAGUGAACAACAUAGCAUCGCCCUUAAGGACAAAAGGCAAGAUAAAACACAGGAUGCAUAAGGACCCAAAAUACUAAAGACCAAAGGAUAGAAAAAUAGGAAGAAUAACACACUAAUAAUAAUAACAAUAAUAAUAAUAAUAAUAAUAAUAGCCUUAUAAAAAUUUACUAUCCUUAGAAAUAAAGGAGAAAUAGAAAUAAAUGAUAAAAAUCCAAAACAAGAUGAAUAGUACCCUACUCCUUUUCUUCUACCCUUGAAUCUUGAGGACGAGAUUCCCUUAAGAUCUGUAACAUCCCGAAAUUUAAAACAUUUAAAAAUAAGGACCUUCAAAAAAAAUUCUAAACAAACUUAGAUUUAAUCUUCUUUCCCCCUUUAAUGCUUAAUUUUUUUAGAAUUUAUUCAUCUGUGCAUGAGCUCCACAUGAUUGUGCAUAUGAGUGCUGAGUUUAGAAUUAAUUCAAAUGUCAUAAACUAACCCCAAAUUUGAAUCUAGUUCAAAUUUGGAACUCAAACCCCAUCAAAGUCUCUCUAAACAAACAUUAAACCCUACUAUUCCUAAACCAGGCCGGCAACUUCGUUUUCAGCCCAACCGGCCUUCCAGCCCAUCCCACCACCGUCUCCACCUCUCCCCUCUCGUACGCACGCAAGUGGGUCGUAAGGCCUAGCAUCCAGCCCAGCCAGCAUACUCUGCGAUGCCUGCAUCAUCUUCCUCCUCGCUCUCUCUCCCUCACAUGCUCGCCUGUCCCCGUCUGUCCCCCCUAGCACACGACGCCGGCGCCUGGAUGCGCCUCCCUGGCC